rnacentral:rRNA from 1 species
UGGGGAAUUUUGGACAAUGGGGGAAACCCUGAUCCAGCCAUCCCGCGUGUGCGAUGAAGGCCUUCGGGUUGUAAAGCACUUUUGGCAGGAAAGAAACGUCAUGGGUUAAUACCCCGUGAAACUGACGGUACCUGCAGAAUAAGCACCGGCUAACUACGUGCCAGCAGCCGCGGUAAUACGUAGGGUGCAAGCGUUAAUCGGAAUUACUGGGCGUAAAGCGUGCGCAGGCGGUUCGGAAAGAAAGAUGUGAAAUCCCAGAGCUCAACUGUGGAACUGCAUUUUAAACUACCGGGCUAGAGUGUGUCAGAGGGAGGUGGAAUUCCGCGUGUAGCAGUGAAAUGCGUAGAUAUGCGGAGGAACACCGAUGGCGAAGGCAGCCUCCUGGGAUAACACUGACGCUCAUGCACGAAAGCGUGGGGAGCAAACAGG